AUUGAACGCUGGCGGCAUGCCUUACACAUGCAAAUCGAACGGUAACGGGCCUUCGGGUGCCGACGAGUGGCGAACGGGUGAGUAAUACAUCGGAACGUGCCCGAUCGUGGGGGAUAACGAGGCGAAAGCUUUGCUAAUACCUCAUACGAUCUACGAAUGAAAGCAGGGGACCGCAAGGCCUUGCGCGGACGGAGCGGCCGAUGGCAGAUUAGUUAGUUGGUGGGAUAAAAGCUUACCAAGCCGACGAUCUGUAGCUGGUCUGAGAGGAUGAUCAGCCACACUGGGACUGAGACACGGCCCAGACUCCUACGGGAGGCAGCAGUGGGGAAUUUUGGACAAUGGGCGCAAGCCUGAUCCAGCAAUGCCGCGUGAAGGAUGAAGGCCUUCGGGUUGUAAACUGAUUUUGUACGGAAAGAAAAGCCUUCUUUUAAUACAGGAGGGUCAUGACGGUACCGUAAGAAUAAGCACCGGCUAACUACGUG
rnacentral:rRNA from 1 species